CCUACGGGAGGCAGCAGUGGGGAAUAUUGGACAAUGGGCGAAAGCCUGAUCCAGCCAUGCCGCGUGUGUGAAGAAGGCCUUCGGGUUGUAAAGCACUUUCAGUGGGGAAGAAAGCCUUGGGGCUAAUACCCUCGAGGAAGGACAUCACCCACAGAAGAAGCACCGGCUAACUCCGUGCCAGCAGCCGCGGUAAUACGGAGGGUGCGAGCGUUAAUCGGAAUUACUGGGCGUAAAGCGCGCGUAGGCGGUCUGAUAAGCCGGUUGUGAAAGCCCCGGGCUCAACCUGGGAACGGCAUCCGGAACUGUCAGGGUAGAGUGCAGGAGAGGAAGGUAGAAUUCCCGGUGUAGCGGGGAAAUGCGUAGAGAUCGGGAGGAAUACCAGUGGCGAAGGCGGCCUUCUGGACUGACACUGACGCUGAGGUGCGAAAGCGUGGGUAGCAAACAGGAUUAGAUACCCCUGUAGU
rnacentral:rRNA from 1 species